ACGAGGGCGCGCGGGCCCCGGUCGUCAGCGCCCGUGACGCGCUGCGACUGACUGCUAGAUGUGAAGAAAGAAUGUGCUCGGCUGCUCGCCGUAUAAAAAAUCUCGUUACCCUCACACUCCGGGUCCGGGGGGGCCUCGUCUUCCUCGCUCCGCCACCGCCACGCUGAAAACCCACGCGCUAAGCGCACCCCGCCAAGUCUACCAGACGCUCUCCGGAGCGGCACGCGCGCGCCAAUGGCGGGGCCUUGAGGUGCUCGUGGGGUGAGGGAGGGAGGACGGCGCUGGUUAGUGAGGGCGUUAAGCGGCGGCUCGGCGCGGCGGGCGGGGAGGAUGAUACGGCACCAGAUACGGAACGAGUAUGGGCUGGCGGAUCCGGAGGUGUACGCGGCCCCGGGGGAGGAGGAUGACCCGGAGGCGCUCCUCGAGGGCGUCGCCAUGGCCGGCCUCGUCGGCGUGCUCCGCCAGCUCGGGGAUCUCGCCGAGUUUGCAGCUGAAAUUUUUCAUGACCUUCACGAAGAGGCUAUGGCUACUGCUUCUAGAGGACAUGGUUUAAUGCUCCGGUUGCAGCAGUUGGAGGCAGAAUUUCCAGCAGUUGAAAAGGCUAUUAUAUCUCAGACGGAGCACUCAAAUUAUCCACAUGAUGAUGGAGCUGAGUGGCAUUCUAAUGUUCAACUUAAACAGAAUGUGAUCACACAAGGAGAUAUGCCUCGUUUCAUUAUGGAUUCAUAUGAAGAAUGUCGUGGUCCGCCACAAUUGUUCACAUUGGAUAAGUUUGAUGUUGCUGGUGCUGGAGCCUCCUUAAAACGAUAUUCAGACCCUUCUUUCUUCAAGACAGAACAUGCCUCCAACAUGAUAGAAGCGGAUGUUUUAAUUGAAAAUAAACCUCGUAGAAUUAAGAAGAAGGCCAUGCGUUGGAGGAAAGGGGCAACUCUUGAAUCAUUACUCACUGCAAACUCAGAGUCUCAAAUUACCCCCAAGGAUCGAACUUCUAGAAAAGUUCCACCUAGGACAACAAAGUUGAAAUCCAGGCAACCACGGAGUCCUGAUCAUAAAACCACUAGCAGAAUCUUGAGGGAGCAUCUGCAAGAAGUGAUUUUAUCGCAGAAAAAAAUCAUCUCCAGAUAUUCGGUGAGGCAUUACUAUGUGAAAUUUGGAUCGCCUGACUCAAGUGAAACUGCACCUCCUUUUGGAGAAAUGGACAGUUUUGGCGCCCUUGUUCAAUCUUCUGGUAAAUUGGAUCUGACAAAAGUUGUUCCAGUAAACGAAUCUGAUGCUGUGGAUACUAAAUCUGAACCCAUUGAUGGAUCGGCUUAUUUGGAGCUAGGUGAUAAACGGAAUCUGGGGAAACAACAUGAACCUUUUCAACAAAAUGGCAUGGUCCAUAGCUCAGAAAAGCUGCCGGAUUGUCCAUACUUGGAUAUUGGAGAAAGUAAUAACAGAUCACAUUUGACAUGUGAAGAGAAACCCCGAUUGGCUGAGGUUCCUGCUGAUCAGAAAGAUGUUGAUGGCCGCAGGCCUGAUGACAUCGUGAGUGAUCAAGACAACUUCAUUGGUGCUUCUAAUGACACGGACAUGGAAAACAAAGAAGGUCUUCAAAUGAAAACUGAAUGUGAUCCCAGUGCCAGUGUUGAACUGGUUGAAUUGAACCGUCACAACAAGGAAGGUGACAAAGUAUUGUAUGCCGAACCUCCAGAAGUAGGUCCUGCAAUAGACUCGUCAUUGGGAUUGGAUAAUGCAAGCAGUGGUGAAGAACCAACCUGUGUGGACUUGCCACUGUCAAGUGAUUCUGCUCCCACAGUGUCAGCCACCAAUGGUCCAAACUCUGGUUCACAAUCUGGCAGACAAAUGAAUGGUGUUGACUGGUCCACAGACGAAGAGUCUUCUAACGAUGUGGAUCUAAUUGACGUGAGCUCAUCUUCUAGUGUAGUUUCUGAAAAUGGUGACGUACAAAACAAUGAUUGUCUCGUUAGUUGUCUACAACACGAGGAAGCGAUUCACUCUCUGAGUGAUGAUCAUGCUGGUGCUAUCCAUAAUUCUGAUGAACAGUCACCGAAUACGUCUAGCAACUGGGAUGAUAUGGCUAUUGGCUGCAACAAUUACACCGAGAAAGUACAUCAUCCAGUGGAGCAUGUCCAGGAUGUUGUACUAGAUGAUAUUUCUAUGAUACUGAGCAAACCUAAUGAUGUUUCAGAAGACGAAGAUAAAAUCAGUUCAGGGAAUGCUGAUGAUUUGUCUCUCCACCCUACCAAAUUGAACCAAGAGGAAAUACAGGAGUUGAAGACAGAAUCGGAAGAAGGCAGAUCUCUAGAAUCAGGAAGUUCACCUAGCAAAGCAUCAUUGCCAAAUAAGGAUCAUGUGUCGAUGAAUGAUGUAGAAGCCGACACUGUUACAAUUCCUAAAGAAACUGUUGCAGAUACUGCACCAACAGGUUUGGAUCCUGAUGGCAUCGACGAGCGUCAAGAUGGAGUUGCACCGAAAUAUUCAAGCAUCCACAAUAGUGUACUGUAUGAAUCAUAUGAUGACAAGAUUGCUGAAGACACACACUCUUUACUAGAUGAUGGCCUAUCAACUACUUUCGAUGACGAUAAGCAUGUUGCAGAGGAUCAUCAAUUUGUUGUUCUUGAACAAAGGACUUGUCCAACUAGCCUCAACACAUGCAAGGAUGAUUCUAUGCAAGGAUGUGCCGUGGCCAGGGAUUUCACUGAUGCUGAAAAGCUUCCGGGAGUCGUUUCAGGUGUAUUAGCUUCUCAACUGGAGACAGAAUCUCAUGUAGGAGAGACACUUGCAUCCACGUCCUAUGCAUUCAGUGAUGAUACUGAAGCACUAGAGAUUGGUGUCCCUCUAGCCCCUGGUACUUCCUUUCUACCUAACACCAGUAGUUCCUUGGUAGAAAAACAUGAAUUGACUGAAACAGAAGAAAUUGCAGAGGUUGGUGAAUUUGUGGUUGCAAAAGAAUCAACUACUAGCGUAUUUGCAGUUGAUGUGGUACCUCCCAAAGAGUUCAUUGAUGCUAACAUACAUCCUGAAAAGGUAGAGGUUCUGGCUACAAGUUUGACUGAAGAAGCCACUAGGCUGGAUUUACAACUACAGUCUCCUUCCAGGGAAGUUUUGGAAACAACGGAAGCUAUUCACAGAAAUUUUGGGGCAGUAGAUGAAUCAAGAGAAGAUAUCUCUAAGAAGAGUAUGUUGCAGACAGACAAUAGUCCUCUUAUUGUAGAGACUACAAGUGAAAAAUGUAGUGACAGGGAUGGUGAUACACAAUUUCUAGUAAAAUCUGAUUAUCAAGAGGAAUUACUAAAAGAGGGCAGUCAUAAUGCUGAAGAUCGAUCUCUCUGCGAUUUGAACAAGGAUGGUGCAGUAACCUUGAAAAGUAAUGCAGUUGAGAAACAACCAGUGAAUGCUGGUCAAGAUUUGGCGUGGGGGAUGCACGCUCAAGAUUCUAGUAGUACAAACCCGUUCCUGGAUCCUGCCUACUUGAUGAGCCACACUCAAAUUUAUUCAUCUUCCAGUAUGAGUAGCCAACCAUGUUUCCCUGAAGAAGAGGAUUUCCUUUCAGAGCUUGUAAUACAACAUGACAAUAUGGGAGUAACUGCUGAUGCCCUUUGGGAACCUGCAACUCCACCUGAUGAUGCGCCAUUACCAUCAGAAAUUAUGACUGAAGAUGAUUUCAGAUCCUUCUGCCAAGAAUAUCAUGAGAUAGAUUUUUCAUCUGUCACUAACUGUUCUCACAGUGAACCAGCCUCAGAUUCUAACAAAAUUCCAAAUGCUUUUCUGAUCAGAGAGUCAGAUUUUCCAUGUUAUAACUCUGCCUUGCCAGUGAAGUUAGAUCAGGAAGCCUGUAUUCAUUCUAAGUUCUGUUCUGAGUGUGUCGAAUAUUCAUGUGCUGUGGAAAGACAAGGCACUACAUCAAUGGUUGUUUCUGGUAAAGAAGAUCGCGUGGGCAAGGACGAGACACCAGGAGUAGAUUUCCAUUUAAAUUUUCUCGAGUUUUCCAAUGAUAACAGAAGUCCUGAAUUAAAUAUGCUCUCCGUUCCAGUGGAUUUACGGCAGGAACUGCAUGGCUUGCCUGAAGUUGAUUCUCGUGAUAGUUCCCCUUUGCUGCAUAAGGAGAAGACUAGUGAAGAAUGCUGCUUUUCUUUAAGCAACAACGUUGUUGAAGUGAAACAAGAGCUGGAAAUCCGUGCUGACCUUGUUCCACAUUCUUCUAUUAAUGAAAAAGUAGAUGGAUUAGAUGAGGCUGUACCGGUGGAACCAGAGGCCCAUGCCUGUGCCUUGGAUGAAUAUGACAACCAAGAUGUCCCACACAUUUCAACUAGUGAGAAGAAUGAAACCCUUACUUUGGGCAAACCUGUUUUAGUCCAGGGGCCAGAAGUUUGUGCCUUUGGUGGAUUUGAAUGUGAUCCUCCAAUCAUUCCAUCACCUUCAGUUGAUGAGACUAAGGACAAUCUAGAAGUCAGAAUGAAUAUGAUCCUCCAAUCAUUCCAUCAUUCUUUGAGGACUUCUUUUCAAGCAGAACAGAAGUCAGAAUGCUACACCUCAGGUGAACAUGAUUCUCAAACCGUUCCAUUUCCUUUGCAUGAUGAGAAUAUCAAUGAACUGGAUGAUCCUCCUUUGAGCAAUGCUGACGAACUGGACCGGGAAUCAAAAGCUUGUGUUCCACAUGAAUGUGAUGCUCAAAUCGCUCCAUGUUCAACUGAUGAGGAUAUACAUGAAUUGGAUCACCCUCCUUUGAGCAGUCCCGCUUUAGUGGAUCUUGAAUCAGAAGACCAUGUCUCGGAUGACCGUGAUUCCGAAGUCACCCCAUGUUUGGUUAAAGAUAAGAUUGAUGAAUCUGUAGAUGCUCAACCAAACCUGCUUCCUGGGGAGCUAGAGCAGGAAACUCAUGCACCCCCUGAAUUAGACUUUCGAGUUGCUCCACAAUCAGCGAAAGAAUCUGAUUGCUCAACUGAAUUUGAUUCCCAGGCCGCACCAUGUUCUUCAAAUAUACCAGUACUAGCUAACACAACAGUGUCGACUUGUAUUUCUGCCAUGCCUAGCAGUGAGGAAACGUAUCAGUUGUCUCCUGUUCCACCACCUACUGUACAAUUUCAAAAUGAUUCCUACAAAGAUCCUCAAGCUCUACUCGCUGAUUCCUACAAAGAUCCUCAAGCGCCACCCCCUCUCCCUCCUCUCCAGUGGAGGCUUGGAAAGCCUCGGCUAGGACUUCUGAGUAGAAAAGGCUGUAUGACUGAACCUGCAAGGGUAAUAGAUCCUGUUUUGCAGAUAUCAAGCCAAGAGAUGGAUAUUAGGCCAGGUUUGCUUGAUCCAACGGAUAGAUCUAUAGAACCAGUAUCCUGUCAAGAAAUCAAAGAAGAUAGAUGUGAGAGUUCUUUGAUAGAUCAUAAUGAUCAAAAUGUGGAUUUUGAUAGAUUAUCGACCAGGGUUGCAGUAACUGAUGUUGCAAGGACUGAACACAGGCUAUCCUUAGAGACUUCAGAGGACAUUAAGCAACAGGGGCAUAUUUCUUCAUCGGCAACAGGAGUUGGGGAACACCUGGAUGCUGGGUUCACAUCAACAAUGGCAGAUGAGGAACAUCUGGAUGAUUCUGGGAUGACACAUGGAACAGCUCUAUACUUAUCAGACCCUCUGUUUCCAUUACCUACAUAUGAACUGCAGGACCCUCAACCAGAUACUCGAGAAAAUAGCGAGCAUCCCAGUCAAACACAUGGAGCUGCAUCUGGGGAUGAUAAGUCAAUGGAUGCUGUUGGCAGCAUGGAAAGCACCCUAACAAAAGGACAUGUUUCUGGAAAUAGGUGCUACCAGCAACCUCAGCAUGGUGAAUCGUCCUCAGAGACUUCAGACCAUAAAGAGCAUAUUACAAAUGCAUCAGAGGAUGGUGUUAAGCAUCAGUCAGGUACAAGUGAGGCACCUUCAGACACAGCAAAGCAUUCUGCACCAGGCACGCUGUUGAAAGGGAAUGUCCAAGAGAGUCAAAUUUUACAGGAACAUAAUGUGGGGAGUUCCGAGGACGAUCAACCAGGAGGCCUGUUGUACAGCUUAGAACCAGUGGCACCUCAAGGGGAAAACAAAAACCAGGUUAACAACCCAGGCCUGUUACUGGAAUGGCCUGGAGAUACAAGUGAGUUGGUCACUGGCCUUGAAAAAAGUUGCUAUGCGCAUGCUGAGCAGCCACCUGUGAUGGGAUGGACUGUUGGACCUCAGAUGCUUCAUCCUAAAUAUGGUAUUUUAGAAGAAGAGAGCCAAUUUGAGCCUAAUAUCGCCGACAAUCAUUUAAUCAGGAAGCCUAUUUCGAUAAAAAACAUCCCAAGGAAUCCACUGGUUGAUGCUGUUGCUGCUCAUGAUAGAAGCUCGAUGAGAAAGGUUUCAGAGCUUGCACCACCGACUGACAAGCCGAAGCCUAACGAGAGAAACAUGUUGCUAGAACAGAUAAGAAACAAGACCUUCAGCUUGAAACCUGUUGCUCCAGCUCAGCAAACAGCAAUGAGAUCCCCUGCUAGAACCAGUACUAGAAACUUGAAGGUUGCCGCUAUCAUAGAAAAGGCAAAUGCCAUACGACAGGCAGUGGGAAGUGACGACGAAGACGCAGAUAGUUGGAGUGAUACAUAAAUCCCCCACCGUUUGCCCUACCCUCUUGGUGCUUCUUUCCAUGGCAGAAAGGUACCGAUUCAUCAAGAGCAUUGGGGACAGGAUGGGGAUGCACAACCAUGUCAUCGUUUUUGUUAGUAAUAUAAUGCUAGUCUUGUGUAUAGUAUACGCCCAUAAUCCUUUUCAUUUUUUGUAUGUGUAUUCUUUCGACCGAUUGUUUGUAUACCUGCCUCUCUCUCCCACAGCAGCAAAGGCUGUUGCGGUUGGCAUGAUCCUAGGAUAGCAUGCAUGGUCUAUGUAAAUUAAACAGUAGUAGUUAAGUAAAGAAUUGUUCCAUCUUUUCUGGAAAAAAAGGUGAGAUAAUGGCAUCAUCGAUUCCACACA